rnacentral:lncRNA from 1 species
GGAUAUUUCACUAUACAUAUUAUAUACAGAAAAAAGACUCUACAUCUAUUAACCAAAUAUAUAUUAUUUUAUAAUAGGAAAACCAUACAUGUUACUUUAAUUCAGGGUUUCCCACCCUCAUCACUACUAACAUUUUAGGCUAGAUAAUUCCUUGUGGUAGGAGCCAUCCUAUGCACUGUAGGAUGUUUAGCAGCAUCCCUGACCUCUACUCACUAGAUGUCAGUAAUUCUCCCUAGUCGUGACAUGCAAAAUGCCUCCACGCAUUGCCAAAUGUCCCCUAAGAAACAAAGUCACCCUUAGUUGAGAACCAUUGCUUUAACAAUAUAGGUGUUUUAGAAUUUUCUCUAUUUUUCAGGUUUGGCCUAAAUUUAAGGGCUCUGUAGCUUUAUGAAUCUUUCCACUGAAGAUUGUAUAGGCAAAAUUUGGAUCUUUUCUGCCACUUGGGCACUGUGGUCAGUAUACAUAAUUUUACUGGGCGUCAGUUUCCUUCACUGCAAAAUAGGUAAAAUAUUACGUAACUUGAAAGAUUGUUGUGAGAGUUCACUAAGAAAAAUUAUAUAAAACACUUCGAUUAGUUAGUAAAUUAGUAGAUUAGUUAAUUUGCUUCUCUUCAAAUGUACUAUAUUGUUUUAAUGUAGUCCCUUCAGUGUGUCAAAAACCCAUCACAAAGUUGUUAUUUCUGUGGGAAAGGCUGUCAUAACUUGGGAUCUACUAUUUCUGGAUAUAAAGAAUGCUAUACUAUGGGUAAAUAAAAACUUUGUUAAAUGAAGGCUGAUUUAUGAGGUCACUUGUGUUUUGAACCUUUAUGAUACCCUAAUUAGAUUGUGACUACAUUCAGAUUCUAACAGUUAAGUCAUCUCAUCGUGUUCUUUCAAGGACUUUGAGCUUCCCAGAUUGAAGAUAGCAUUAGAUGUCAGCCAAUCACUUUGUCCUUUGAAGUUUUUGUCUUUCAUAUCUGAAAUCCCGCCAAUUGUAACAGCUUGUGUGUCAGCCCCAAUAGAGGAAGUUGGAUACUGUCAAGCUGAAGGAGAUGCUGUUUUUCCAGCAGUUAAAAGAGAACUUAGCUUGUCUCUGUUUCUUGAUUCCUCUUCAAUUUCUGUUUGCAAACCAAGACUUGUGUUUGGAGAACUUUGUUGUACUGAGCCUAAGUCAUUUUUGAUCUAUAACGAGAACAUGCAUUUUCACAUGUCAACCGGAUUUGUGGACCAGUAAAGUUCUCCCCAAAGAAAUCUUCUAUGAUAUUGUCUCAAGGACCACCUGCAACAAGAGCCCACAAAUUGAAUAAAUGCAACAUAAGGAGAGGAUUUUUUUUUUUUUCUGUUGUUGCUUGUUUCAAAAAUGCUACUAUCCAGAUUCUCUAUUAAGGUAUAUUGUCCUAUUUUAAAUAUUGUAGUUAAACUGAAUUAAGACCUUCUUUCUAGAUUAAAAUUAU